CCGAGUGGCGAACGGGUGAGUAACACGUGGGUGAUCUGCCCUGCACUUCGGGAUAAGCCUGGGAAACUGGGUCUAAUACCGGAUAGGAGCCAUUUUUAGUGUGAUGGUUGGAAAGUUUUUCGGUGUAGGAUGAGCUCGCGGCCUAUCAGCUUGUUGGUGGGGUAAUGGCCUACCAAGGCGGCGACGGGUAGCCGGCCUGAGAGGGUGGACGGCCACAUUGGGACUGAGAUACGGCCCAG
rnacentral:rRNA from 1 species